UACGUAGGGGGCAAGCGUUGUCCGGAAUCAUUGGGCGUAAAGAGCGUGUAGGCGGUCCGGUAAGUCGGCUGUGAAAGUCCAGGGCUCAACCCUGGGAUGCCGGUCGAUACUGCCGGACUAGAGUUCGGAAGAGGCGAGUGGAAUUCCCGGUGUAGCGGUGAAAUGCGCAGAUAUCGGGAGGAACACCUAUGGCGAAGGCAGCUCGCUGGGACGUUACUGACGCUGAGGCACGAAGGCCAGGGGAGCAAACGGG
rnacentral:rRNA from 1 species